UGGCGCCCAACGUGUGGGCUCCUGGCAUGGGGGAGUCAACGAGGGAGCCGUUCGAGAAAGCCGGCUAAAAGUAAAAGCAAAUUGAACCAAAGACCACGGUGAGAAGUAAUAAGGCUAAAAGCAAAAGCACAUUAAAUUAAGGACUGAGGCCUGUGCGGAUGACUACCUGACGUGCCGCCCGAGUCAUGGUGAGUGAAUGGCGACCCCAUUCCCUUUCCUGGAUGUGGGUCAAGCAUUGAGCAAACACGAAUUGUUCGUGGGAGGCCUUAUAAAGGCAUUAAAGACAAGAGGAGUGAGGGUUAGAACAAAAGAAUUAUUGCAGUAUUUUCAAUUUAUUCUUAAGGUUUGCCCUU
rfam:Cavia porcellus supercont2_19 genomic scaffold, whole genome shotgun sequence.